CUGUCAACAAGCGUACCGAUACCGAUAACUUGAGCGGCACGUACGCUGGUGUGUUACACACUACCAAAACGAUACAACACACAACACGUAGAACAACAGAAAGAGAUAACACACAAUAGUAUUAUAGCUAUAACGACACACACAUGAAAUUGAUAUCUGGCGCGAAAGUGACGGUAGUGAAUUAUCGUAGGAGGUAAACUAAAAUUCAACCGGUAGAUUUAAAAACGAGCGUAAAAGAAGGGAACUCGAAACACUUAUGGUCCGACGUACAAUUAUGUUUAAGACAUACACGAAACGAGUGAACGGAGUGAUCGUUGUCUAUCCUUCGAAAAAGGCACAAUAAAUGUGACCGAAACGUCA
rnacentral:lncRNA from 1 species